CACACCUCCUUGACAGUACCUUGAGUAGUAUUUCUCCAAUUCUCCUUGAUAAGUUGCUGGAAGUCCUUAUGAUUAGCCCAUGCAUUAUAGAAUCUGAAGGGGACCUUCCUGAUCAUAGUAGCUUCAGUCAAAGUGAGCACCAUUGGAUUAUGAUCAGAGAUUAGUGGAGGAUCAUAUACAGUUUGUACAUGACUCCAUUUAAUCAUCCAUUCAUAAUUACCAAAUAUUCUGUCCAAUCUGCUACAAACUCUAUCAUUGCCAGUUUGUUUAUUGGUCCAUGUGAAA
rnacentral:lncRNA from 1 species